rnacentral:rRNA from 1 species
CCUACGGGGGGCAGCAGUGGGGAAUAUUGGACAAUGGGCGAAAGCCUGAUCCAGCCAUGCCGCGUGUGUGAAGAAGGCCUUCGGGUUGUAAAGCACUUUCAGUGGGGAAGAAAGCCUUGGGGCUAAUACCCUCGAGGAAGGACAUCACCCACAGAAGAAGCACCGGCUAACUCCGUGCCAGCAGCCGCGGUAAUACGGAGGGUGCGAGCGUUAAUCGGAAUUACUGGGCGUAAAGCGCGCGCAGGCGGUCUGAUAAGCCGGUUGUGAAAGCCCCGGGCUCAACCUGGGAACGGCAUCCGGAACUGUCAAGCUAGAGUGCAGGAGAGGAAGGUAGAAUUCCCGGUGUAGCGGUGAAAUGCGUAGAGAUCUGGAGGAAUACCAGUGGCGAAGGCGGCCUUCUGGACUAACACUGACGCUGAGGUGCGAAAGCGUGGGUAGCAAACAGGAUUAGAUACCCCAGUAGUC